GCGCGCCGCCGCCCGCCGCCCGCAGCCCCGCACGCCGCCGCCCGCCUCUGCCUUCUGCGGUUCUGCCCUUGAGCACUGCCUUGAGCCCUUCUGUCAAGACGUCAAGUUCUUGGUAACUUGGUUUCCUCUUUGGUUUUCACUUUUCAGGGCACUGCUAAGAGAGUCCGGUCACAGAGAUUUGGGAAUUUGUGGAGCUGCACUGCUGCGGUCCCCGGUCCACGCGGCCUCAUCUGCGCCUCUGCGGCCUGCGGGACUGCGGGCUGCGGCAGCGGAGGGCCCGCUGGCCGCCGCCGCACCGGCCACCGCACGACCGGCGGUUGCGCGUGCCGCUGGCCAAGGCCAGGAGCCCAGGAGCGUCCGCGCCUUCGCCAGUUUGCCUGCAAAUUUUUAAUUGCUAUAUUGUAAUUGAUAUUUGGCUAUUAAUUUAUCAUGAUCGCGUCAUCACGAUGACCUCUUGAUAAGCUCGUUGUCUCGGCAAUACCUUGAUUUUAUCGCGUCCUCCACCACUGUUGUUGCUGCGAGCAAUCCAAUGCGCCUAAUACUGCUUCCUCUCUGCCCCUGCACCACUGCCGCAGCGCUCGCAAGUGCGGCCGCGCCCCCCGUCGUCGUCGCCGGCGUGCAGUGCGCACCCAUCCGUCCGGAGCGAGGUUGAUUUCUUCUUCUGUGGCAUAUUUCUUUCUUUUAUCAAUAAUGGUUGAUGGGUCGUAGGAAGAACUGAAAGAUUCAUAUCUCCAAUGCUCCUGUGGCGGUGGCCCAAAUGCACUGCUGAAUGGUUCAGGCACAGGAAGGUUUUCCCGUGGGAAGCUGCUUCCUGCCCCUUCUCCGUAUUCACUGCUUCAGCUCAGUUAGAUGACUCGAGCGGUGAUGAAAAGCUGAAUUGUGCUCCUGAUAAUGAACCUUUCCGGAAACGACGCCGGACUCUGAGCUCUGACAGUGUUGUGCAGACGCUCCGCUGCCUGAGGAGGAAGCCUGCUGUUGCAUUUGCCUACUUUAAAGAUACACAGAGCCUUGGGUUUCACCAUGACUUCUCAACCUUCUCAGAGAUCACGCAAAUUUUAUCCCAUUCAUUCCAGGGGAAGAUGCUCGUAUCCUUGUUUUGUGAGAUUAUCUCAGCAACUGAUAGUGGCGGUCCGGAAAUCUUAACAUCACUCCUUGAUCACCUCAGGAAAACAUGUGUCACUUCUCACGUGCUCCCGUUUGCAGUAAAUUGCUUGAUCAAGGCAUGCACCACAUGCUACGAUGCACAAGCAACAAUAGAGGAAUUUUGUCACCUUUGCAGGCUUGGAUUUCUCCCAACAGUUUGGGCUUGCAACUUUGUGCUCCAAUUUGUAUCUCAGAGUGGUGAAUCAGAUAUGGUUGUCGCAGCUUAUGAUCAAAUGAAGUGCUUUCAGUUGACGCUGGAUUCUCAUUCAUUGAAAAUAGUCACUAGGUCGCUUUUUCAAGCAAAGAAGGCAGAUGAAGCAUUCCAAGUGUGGAUUGGGAUGAUUGAAAUGGGAGUGACACCAGAUGUACGUGGAUACUCGUCAUUUAUAAUUGGCCUUUGUGAUUGUGGAAAGUAUGACCUAGCUUAUAACAUGGUAAGCAGAUAUACUGUUCUACAAGAAAUCACCCAGGAGAGGGUUCCAAUUGCAGCCAUGGCUUAUAACAUGGUAAUUGAUGGACUAUGCAAAGAAAUGAAACUGGAGGAGGCUGAAAAAGUCUUGGAGAACAAGACCAAACAUGGAUCUGCCCCUGAUCUAUAUGGUUACAGCUAUCUCGUUCGUAGUUAUUGCAAAAUGGGUAACCUACAAAAGGCGUGGCAACAUGUUGAAGCUAUGGUAUCCCAUGGCAUCGAUAUAAAUUGUCACAUUGUUGGCUACCUUCUACAGUGCAUCAGGAAAUUAGGCAUGACAUCAGAAGUUAUUGUGUACUUCCAGAAAUUUAGAGAUUUAGGAGUCCAUUUUGAUGGCGUGCUUUAUAACAUUGGCAUGGAUGCUUAUUGCAAGCUCGGUAAUAUGAAUGAGGCAGUUCAGCUACUGAAUGAAAUGAUGGCUGAAGGUUUGGCACCAGACAAAAUCCACUAUACAUGCCUGAUCAACGGUUACUGUCUCAAAGGAGAAACAGAAAAUGCUUGGCAAGCAUUUGAGCAGAUGCUGAAGGCAAAUAUAAAACCAGAUGUAGUUACAUAUAACAUACUGGCUAGUGGAUAUAGCAGAAACGGUCUUGUGAUGAAGGUAUUUGAUCUUCUAGAGCACAUGAUGGAUCAAGGGUUGGAGCCUAAUUCACUCACCUAUGGUGUAGUUAUUGCUGGUUUUUGUAGAGGAGGCAACCUGAGCGAAGCAGAGGUGUUAUUUAAUAUAGUAGAAGAAAAAGGGAUUGAUAAUAUUGAAGUGAUGUACAGUUCUAUGGUUUGUGGUUAUUUGCACUCAGGCUGGACUGACCAUGCUUACAUGCUUUUCCUUAGGGUUGCUAAACAAGGAAAUACGGUGGAUCAAUUUUCAUGUUUAAAAUUGAUAAGCGGCCUUUGUAGAGAUGGAAAAGUCGAAGGAGCUUCAACUGUAUGUAAUAUGAUGCUGGAAAAGAAUGUUGUUCCUGAUGUAAUUUCCUAUAGCAAACUUAUAUCAGCUUAUUGUCAGACAGGAGAUAUGCACAGUGCUCGCUUAUGGUUUGAUGAUAUGGUUGAGCGAGGACUUUCUGAUGUGAUUGCAUACACUGUAAUGAUGAAUGGUUAUUGCAAGGUUCGCCGGUUUAAAGAAGCAUUUGACUUAUUUGAUCAAAUGAGAAAUUUAGGAAUCAAGCCUGAUGUAGUUGCAUACACUGUGCUAUUGGAUGGCCACCUAAAGGAGAUCCUGCUCCGAGGGUGGCAGGAUAUUGAAUCUAAGGAAAGGAAGAUUUUUCAUCUUAGAGCAGAGCAUAAGAAGUUGCUGAGCUCUAUGAAAGACAUGGAAAUUGAACCUGAUGUAGCCUGUUACACAGUAUUGAUUGAUGGACAGUGCAAAACAGAAUAUCUAGAUGAAGCUCAGGGAUUGUUUGAUGAGAUGUUAGUGAAAGGACUUACUCCUGAUGUUUACACAUACACAGCUCUCAUAAAUGGAUACUGCAGCCAGGGAGAAAUAGCUAAGGCUGAAGAUCUUUUACAAGAAAUGAUGGAUAAGGGAAUGAAGCCAGAUGAACUGACCUUUUCAGUAUUACAUCAGAGAACCUUGAGAUAAAGGCCCAUUCAUAUUUAUGGUGUACAUAGCUGUGUGUUGAUGAAUGACUGGAGAUCAUGCCAACAUAAAGACUGUUGUGUUCUGAGAAUCCUACCAGAUUAGGUUACCAGUGAUCUGUGAGCCUGUAUGUCAGGAAGGCAGACACCUGGAGCAUGGAAAGACUGCCCCAUUAGCACAGCAUUGGGUAAUCGAGGAGAAGAACAAAAUGCAGGUACUUUCAAAGUCAAGAGUCAAGACCAAUGACUACCAAAAUGGAGCUGUGCACAUGCCAUGCUGGCAAAGCCUGCUGUGGCAGCUGCGCCAACUAUGAGGUUUUACCAGACUAUUUUGUUCCUGUGACUAGCGGUGUAUUCCCAGACAACCAAGAGGGAGUAGACAGAGGUAAGCUCUCUGGGAUUCGGUCCCAGGCUAUGGGGAGCUCUCGAUGCUCCUGAGACUGUGCUACAUCCAUUGGGCUGUAAUGAGGUGAUCCCAAUUGUUUGUUCAUACAGUAGAGAGCAAGCUGGUUGCUGUUCGGUUGCACUCUUGAGGCCGUCUCACUGCCUGAAGACCAUCUCUCUUGCAGAGACACUGAUGCUCACCUGUGCAGGUUACUUAAUUUGCGCAGUGCCCACAGAUUCUUAUCAUUUUGGUUCCUCCAGGGGACUAACAGAUUAAGGGUCCCUUUGGUUCUGAUUCUUGGUACCGAUUCGCGUCCAAGAAUCUGGAAUCCGAACCAAAGACGUCCAUCGCAAAAACCGCUUCCGAAAAAUCACCCGAUUCCCGCAGUUCACUUUGGAAUCGGGUGAGACACCAGAUUUUACCGAUUCCAUCCCGCCGCCGAGCUCCCGCCGCCGCCCCCACCCCCGACCUCGUGUCACACCCCCCGCCCACUCCUCCGAUCCGGAUCUAGCGCAAGCUCGGGCUCGGCCUGGGCCCAGGCUCCCGCCGCGGCGUCCCCGCAGUCGUCAGCUCGAGCUCCCGAGGUGCGUGCCGCGCGGAUCCGUGCUCCUCCCCUGGCGAUUCUUCGGGUUUUGUCGUUCUUGAGUGUUUUCCGUUUGGUUCGCGCGGAAAGGAGAGGUUUUUAGGCCGUUCCUCCUGCUGAUUCCGUCGGGCGUGGUGGAUUUGAUGGAGACUGGCUCGUUUUUUAGGAGGAAAUUUGGUGGGAUUGGUGUGAAAGGGAGGCGCUUUCGACUGUUCCCGUAGUUGACUUUCGUAGGAUUUGGCCGCUAGAGAAGGAUUUUCUAGUACUCAUUUUUGGGGCAACCAUCGUCGUAUGCGGUGGAACAAAUGCUGCUCCACCGUUCUGUUGAAUAAUUUGUGCCUGUGCUCAUUUUCGUGUGCCUCCUGGGCUACAUCUGAUUUACUUCUCGUAAUGCAAAAAUCCCUGGUACCAGUUA